AAAACAUCGCCUCCUGAUCACCCAUAGGAGGUCCAGCCUGCCCAGUGACUAAGUUAAACGGCCGCGGUACCCUAACCGUGCAAAGGUAGCGCAAUCACUUGUUCUUUAAAUGAGGACUAGUAUGAACGGCAUCACGAGGGUUAUGCUGUCUCCCUAUUCUAUUCAGUGAAACUGAUCUCCCCGUGAAGAAGCGGGGAUAAAAAUAUAAGACGAGAAGACCCCAUGGAGCUUUAAACUCAGUACCAACUGCCCAAUUAAAAACCUUUUACCCCUGCAGCUAUGGUUACUAGUUUUCGGUUGGGGUGACCACGGAGUAAAAAUUAACCUCCACGAUGAAAGGAAUUAACAACCUAACCUAUGAGCUACAGCUCUAAGUAUCAAUAAAUUGACUAAUUGAUCCAAUUACUUGAUCAACGAACCUAGUUACCCUGGGGAUAACAGCGCAAUCCAUUUCAAGAGCUCAUAUCGACAAAUGGGUUUACGACCUCGAUGUUGGAUCAGGGUAUCCCAGUGGCGCAGCCGCUACUAACGGUUCGUUUGUUCAACGAUUAAAACCCUACGUGAUC
rnacentral:rRNA from 1 species